CUCAGACUCACCGCUGAAUAAACAACAGCUCGCCCUCACAAAAAAAGUAAGUAUGCUGUUCUAAAUGACUACCGAAUUGCCCUAGAUGGGCCAAUUUGCCAAAAUGUUGAAGUAUCGCUUUAAUGGACUGAUUGAGACUGAAACGCCACAGUCCUGGCAGUUUUCCCAGCAUGCACCGGGAGUCAGGGAGCAGGCCUGGGAGCAGUUCGCUGUGUGAAGCUGCUCUGAGCAGUGAAGCAAUCCGUCGUUAAUCCAUGAGCAGAAGGACCCAUGUUCUACCUGAGCCACUGCCGGAUAAACUGCUGCUGUUUAUAAAAUGUUACAUUUUGAGCAAAACGUUUGGAUAUUGGGGGUUCAGCACACACACACACACACACACACACACACACACACACACACACACACACACACACACUCCCCUGUGUGGUUUUCCUUUGCCAGGUCAGGGGUCAGGAGGUCAACAGCAGUGAGAGGAGCGUGUUCCUUCGGUCGGGCGUGACCUCUGCUCUGUCCUCGGGGCUCACUGGGAGCAGAUGGAGAGCCUGGUCCAGUGGUUUCUCUGCCUCAUGGUGCUGAGAAGCUGAAGCUCCAGCAGGGGGCAGCAUCUCCCAGCAGGAACCACACUUCCAGUGUGGACUGACUGAGUGUGGCCUGAGGUCAAAGGUGGAGCUGCAGCAGCAUCCUGCUGGAGCUCCAGAUCCGGUGGAACAGCUGGAACCAGGCCUGGAGGCUGGAGAGAAGGUCUGCAUCAAGAACAAAAUCAAAGAAACAACCUUUAAAAUCCUUCAUAAUAUCAUCCAGCUAAAAAAACAUUGCAAAGAUUUAAGUUAAACACAGACUCCAGCUGCUGUUUCUGUACAAAGGAGAUGAAACAGUCCAACAGCUCUUCUCUCAGCGGAGCUUCAGUCAAACUUUCUGGACUAAAGCUGCAGUUUUUUUGUCAAAUAGAACCAAAGGAACCGUCCGCCUCCAGGAGAUCCUCAAUCUGUUCAACACCCACUUCCACCAGAGUAAGGAAACACGCCUGUUAACCAGCUGAUGAUACUGCUGGGGGGAUUUCAUAUCCACAGAAUGAAAUGGGCGGAGAACAAACCGAACUGGAACCACUUUCUAGAAGAGUUAAAACUUUACAUAAAAUACUUCGCUAACUCUGACAACUUAAAGGCUGUAAAGACGACGGCUCUAAUGGAGAAAUUCUGCACCAAUCUGAUGGAUCAGUAAAUCCCUGCUCCGGUAGCUUAUUGUUGUUUUUUCUAUUUUCCUGUGAACGUUGUUAUUUUUGUUUAAUAAGGCCUCCCCUGGCGGCAGAGCUGAGACUUCUGAAUGUAAUGACAGGUAAACGGUGUGUGUCUGUCUAAAUGUUUUGUUUGUUAGUACUGUUUUUUGUCUUAAAAAAAAAAAAAAAGACACCACUUCCUCUGUCUCCUGGGACGACUUCCUCU